GCAAUGAUGAUGCUUUGUGUUGUUGAUCAUUUUGAACUGAUGUUUUCCUCUAAGAAGUUCUGAGCUU